GUCGACGCCCAGGUGGGUCGACAACAGUCAGGGAGCCCCAAGCUUCUUGGCGCUCCCUCGUACCUAUGUUGCUCUACGGAGGAUGUAGCUAUGAGAA
rnacentral:sRNA from 1 species